AUGCAGCACGCCGCGUGAGGGACGACGGCCUUCGGGUUGUAAACCUCUUUUAGUAGGGAAGAAGCGAAAGUGACGGUACCUGCAGAAAAAGCACCGGCUAACUACGUGCCAGCAGCCGCGGUAAUACGUAGGGUGCAAGCGUUGUCCGGAAUUAUUGGGCGUAAAGAGCUCGUAGGCGGUUUGUCGCGUCUGCUGUGAAAACCCGAGGCUCAACCUCGGGCCUGCAGUGGGUACGGGCAGACUAGAGUGCGGUAGGGGAGAUUGGAAUUCCUGGUGUAGCGGUGGAAUGCGCAGAUAUCAGGAGGAACACCAAUGGCGAAGGCAGAUCUCUGGGCCGUAACUGACGCUGAGGAGCGAAGGCAUGGGGAGCGAACA
rnacentral:rRNA from 1 species